rnacentral:rRNA from 1 species
GACGAACGCUGGCGGCGUGCUUAACACAUGCAAGUCGAACGGAAAGGCCCUGCUUUUGUGGGGUGCUCGAGUGGCGAACGGGUGAGUAACACGUGAGUAACCUGCCCUUGACUUUGGGAUAACUUCAGGAAACUGGGGCUAAUACCGGAUAGGAGCUCCUGCUGCAUGGUGGGGGUUGGAAAGUUUCGGCGGUUGGGGAUGGACUCGCGGCUUAUCAGCUUGUUGGUGGGGUAGUGGCUUACCAAGGCUUUGACGGGUAGCCGGCCUGAGAGGGUGACCGGGGACAUGGGGACUGAGAUAGGGCGCAGAGUGCUACGGGCGGCAGUAGUGGGGAAUAUGGCACAAUGGGCGGAAGCGUGAUGCAGCAACGUCGCGUGCGUGAUGACGGCUUUCGGGGUGUAAACCGCUUUCGCCGGUGAUGAAGCGGGAGUGACGGUAAUGGGUAAAGAAGCACCGGCUAACUACGUG